CUAUGCGCCUUGCCAGCCCGCUCAGUCAGAGUUUGAUCCUGGCUCAGGAUGAACGCUAGCGGCAGGCCUAAUACAUGCAAGUCGAACGGGGUCCUUCGGGGCCCAGUGGCGCACGGGUGCGUAACGCGUAUGCAACCUACCUCGAACUGGGGGAUAGCCUCCCGAAAGGGAGAUUAAUACCGCAUAAUACCAUGUGAGGACAUCCGAGUAUGGUUAAAGAUUUAUCGGUUCGAGAUGGGCAUGCGUGCCAUUAGCUAGUUGGCGGGUAAGGCCACCAAGGCGACGAUGGCUAGGGGGUCUGAGAGGAUGGUCCCCACACUGGCACUGAGAUACGGGCCAG
rnacentral:rRNA from 1 species